AAUGAACGCUGGCGGCGUGCUUAACACAUGCAAGUCGUACGAGAAAGCCUGGCUUGCCAGGCAAGUAAAGUGGCGCACGGGUGAGUAACGCGUGGGUAAUCUACCUUUGUCUGGGGGAUAACCUACCGAAAGGUGGGCUAAUACCGCAUAACGUGAUCGGGUUGCGACUUGAUCACCAAAGAUGGCCUCUCCAUGGAAGCUAUCAGGUAAAGAUGAGCCCGCGUCCCAUUAGCUAGUUGGUAAGGUAAAAGCUUACCAAGGCAACGAUGGGUAGCUGGUCUGAGAGGAUGGCCAGCCACACUGGAACUGGAACACGGUCCAGACUCCCACGGGAGGCAGCAGUGAGGAAUCUUGCGCAAUGGGGGCAACCCUGACGCAGCAACGCCGCGUGAGUGAAGAAGGCCUUCGGGUCGUAAAGCUCUGUCAAGUGGGAAGAAUAGCUUUAAGGUAAAUAAUCUUAAGGUAUGACUGUACCACUGGAGGAAGCACCGGCUAACUCCGUGCCAGCCGCCGCUGUAAAAC
rnacentral:rRNA from 1 species